rnacentral:rRNA from 1 species
CCUACGGGUGGCAGCAGUGGGGGAUAUUGCACAAUGGGGGAAACCCUGAUGCAGCGACGCCGCGUGGGUGAAGGAGUAUCUCGGUACGUAAAGCUCUAUCGGCAGGGAAGAAGAUGACGGUACCUGACUAAGAAGCCCCGGCUAACUACGUGCCAGCAGCCGCGGUAAUACGUAGGGGGCAAGCGUUAUCCGGAUUUACUGGGUGUAAAGGGGGCGGAGACGGCAAUGCAAGUCAGGAGUGAAAGCCCGGGGCUGAACCCCGGGACUGCUUUGGAAACUGUAGGGCUGGAGUACAGGAGGGGGAGGCGGAAUUCCUAGUGUAGCGGUGAAAUGCGUAGAUAUUAGGAGGAACACCGGUGGCGAAGGCGGCUUGCUGGACUGUGACUGACGUUGAGGCUCGAAGGCGUGGGGAGCAAACAGGAUUAGAUACCCUUGUAGUC